GGGCCAACCAAGAGCUAGAGGGCGCGGCCUACAUGCAAAUCUAAGCACAGAUAUUACUGAUUGAAGGAGAGGCAGAUGAUAGGCUGGGUUAUGGAAAGGAGGGCGUUGUUAUCUCGGAUCUGUCGUCUAGCUUCCGAAGCUUCAUUUAGCUCCGCCCUACCAUUUAAAAGUCGCGGCGCCUGCGCAGUGGAUGGAAAUGAGGACUUAGUCUGUUACACAACCGACUGGGCUGUUUUGGGAGCUGUGGUUUCCCUUUGGCUUCACGUCCUUCCCUCUCUCGGGUUUUUCUUGCUUACGAUCGUGGUAAAGGCAUGAGUGGGGAUCAGCUGCAUAACGACUCCCAGGUACGGGGGAGGGCUCUCUUUUUUCUAGCAGUUAAUGGGAAGAAAGAAAAGGCUGUGGACGUUGAGGCCUUUCCCCUAUCCCCAUUUGAGGGAAAAAGUGGAGGGUUUCUGAUGGUGGAGAAGAAGAAAAAUAUUGAUCCAGGUUUCCGAGCGAAUGAUUCGCACAAACAUAAAGAUAAACACAAAGACCGAGAACAUCGACACAAAGAGCACAAGAAGGAUAAAGACAGAGAAAAAUCCAAGCACAGUAAUAGUGAACACAAAGAGUUUUCUGAGAAAAAACACAAAGAGAAGGAGAAAACCAAACAUAAAGAUGGUAGUUCAGAAAAACAUGACAAACACAAAGACAAACACAAAGAUAGGGAGAAGGAGAAGCGAAAGGAAGAAAAGGUACAGUAUACUAUGAUGGAUAUAUUACUUCUUUGGAUUGUACUUUUGUCAGGGAUAAAGCCACACUCUGUUUUCAGUAUUGACUACAAGCCUAAGAAGAUUAAAACUGAAGAUGUAAAAAAAUCAAAAAAACGAAAACAGGAAGAUGAAGAGGAGAGUAAACCGAAGAAAAUAAAAAGCAAAGAUAAGAAGCCCCCAGAAGGAGAAAUGAAAAAGAAAAAAACAAAAAAAGAAGAGGAACAGAAAUGGAAAUGGUGGGAAGAAGAACGCUAUCCUGAAGGUAUUAAAUGGAAAUUCUUGGAGCACAAGGGUCCUGUGUUUGCUCCUGCAUAUGAACCGUUGCCUGAAAAUGUCAAAUUCUACUAUGAUGGUAAAGUCAUGAAACUCCGUCCCAAAGCAGAAGAGGUUGCAACUUUUUUUGCAAAAAUGCUUGAUCAUGAGUACACUACAAAGGAUAUCUUCAGGAAAAACUUCUUUAAAGACUGGAGAAAGGAAAUGACUCCAGAAGAAAAGGGAACUAUCACCAGCCUUAGCAAAUGUGACUUUGGUCAUAUGAGUCAGUAUUUCAAGGCCCAAACAGAAGCUAGAAAGCAAAUGACCAAGGAAGAAAAGCAGAAAAUUAAAGAAGAGAAUGAGCGGUUAUUAAAAGAAUAUGGUUAUUGUGUCAUGGAUAACCAUAAGGAAAGAAUUGCCAACUUUAAGAUUGAGCCUCCAGGUCUCUUCAGAGGACGUGGCAAUCACCCCAAAAUGGGCAUGCUGAAGCGAAGAAUAAUGCCUGAAGACAUCAUCAUCAAUUGUAGCAAGGAUUCUAAAGUCCCUCCCCCUCCCCCUGGCCAUAAAUGGAAAGAGGUUCGACAUGAUAACAAAGUAACCUGGCUAGUAUCAUGGACUGAGAAUAUUCAAGGAUCUAUUAAAUAUAUCAUGUUGAAUCCCAGCUCAAGAAUCAAGGGUGAGAAAGACUGGCAGAAAUACGAGACAGCUCGGAGAUUGAAGAAAUGUGUAGAUAGGAUUCGAAAUCAAUAUCGAGAAGACUGGAAAUCCAAAGAGAUGAAAGUGCGGCAAAGGGCUGUGGCACUGUACUUCAUUGAUAAACUUGCUCUGAGAGCUGGCAAUGAGAAAGAAGAAGGGGAGACUGCUGACACAGUGGGCUGUUGCUCCCUCCGUGUGGAACAUAUUAAUUUGCAUCCAGAAUUAGAUGGUCAGGAAUAUGUAGUAGAAUUUGAUUUCCUCGGAAAAGACUCCAUAAGAUACUAUAACAAAGUACCUGUUGAGAAAAGGGUAUUUAAGAAUCUUCAGUUAUUUAUGGAAAAUAAGCAGCCAGAAGAUGAUUUAUUUGAUAGGCUUAAUGUGAGUAUCUUCUUUUCCUACAUUUGAAAGCUGUAUGAACUACUCUAAACUUGAAAGGAUGUUUCUUAAACUUUCUUCUGUGAAAUUAAUACCUAUUGGCUGUUCUGGUAUGGCUUGGAAUAAGAGAGCCAGUUUGACCUAGUGGUUAAGGCACCAUGCUAGAAACUAGGAGACUAUGAUUUCUAGUCUUGCCUUAGGCAUGAAAGCCAGCUGGAUGACUUUGGGCCAAUUACCCUCUUUCAGCUCAACUUUACUCCACAGGGUUGUUGUUGCGGGAAAAUAGGAGGAGGAAGGAGUAAUAAAUAGGUUCACCACUUUCA
ensembl:lncRNA